UUAUUAUUAUUUUCAUGUUCCUUUAAUUCCGAAGUUGGAAAGCCUAGACAAGAAAUUCCACCACGCUGCCCACAAUUUUUCUUCAACCUUCAAAGACUGCUAAAACUUUGAAAAUUAAAAGAGCAAUACGAAUACAACGCCCAAUUUACAGUGGCUUCAAGUUUUGAACUUCUGAAUUAAAGGAACAUGAAAAUAAUAAUAA
rnacentral:misc_RNA from 1 species